GCAGCAUCAGCAUCGCUCUCAUCUCAGCCGCAGUUUUGCGCUAGACAAGUCAGAACAAUUUCUCACACGUAGCUUCUUAUUGCACUCACAACUUUGCAUCUAAGAAGAGAGCUCCGGGAAUUAAUACCAUUUAUUCGAGGAAGGCGAGUCGGUCAAAACGCUGUCCCUUGAUCUUACAGCGCUCUGGCAAAGAUGAAUUUUGUAUCGGUUGUUAUACUGACGUGCACCUUACUUGUGGGAACAUCUUUGGGGACCAAGGCAGGCCAACCUCCUACACCCACAUGCAGACCAGGCUUCUCUGAGAGCUUCUACACUGUGUUUGUCUCGAGGGAUCUACUGCGAGGCCAGAGCAUUCUCAAAGAAUGGCCCUAUAUCCCUCAAAGCCCCUAGAAGAUGACAUCCACCGCCAGCCCGUUCCAUUACCCCAGCCACCCAAGAUACAUAAGGUUGGAGGACAUCCCACCCCGACACAAGGACAUCCCACCCUGACACCCUGCUCUCCAGCGGCUAGAUGUUCUUUACCAUUCGGCCAUCAGAUUUGCCACUAAUGCUCCUUAUAGGACACAUCACUGCACUCUAU